rnacentral:rRNA from 1 species
UACAGAGGGCUCAAGCGUUGUUCGGAUUCACUGGGCGUAAAGGGUGCGUAGGUGGCAUGGUAAGUCGGAUGUGAAAUCCCGGGGCUCAACCCCGGAACUGCAUUCGAUACUGCUGCGCUAGAGUACUGGAGAGGAGAUUGGAAUUUACGGUGUAGCAGUGAAAUGCGUAGAUAUCGUAAGGAAGACCAGUGGCGAAGGCGGAUCUCUGGACAGUUACUGACACUGAGGCACGAAGGCCAGGGGAGCAAACGGG